UAGUACGGCGAGUGAACAGGAAAAAGCUCAAAGUUGGAACCUGUUUGGCCUAGCUAAACCGGAUUGUAAACUGUAGAAGUGUUUUCCAGGCAAGCCGGACCGAUAAGUCCUUUGGAACAGGGCAUCAUAGAGGGUGAGAAUCCCGUCUUCGGUCUGAGCAUUUGCCUUUUGCGAUACACUUUCAAAGAGUCAGGUUGUUUGGGAAUGCAGCCUAAAUUGGGUGGUAAAUCUCACCUAAAGCUAAAUAUUGGCGAGAAACCGAUAGCGAACAAGUACCGUGAGGGAAAGAUGAAAAGAACUUUGAAAAGAGAGUUAAACAGUAUGUGAAAUUGUUAAAAGGGAACCGUUUGGAGCCAGACUGGCUUGUCUGUAAUCAGUCUAAGCUUCGGCUUGGAUGCACUUGCAGGCUAUGCCUGCCAACGACAAUUUGGCUUGAGGGAAAAAACUAAGGGAAAUGUGGCCCAUCCGUGGGUGUUAUAGUCCCUUAGAAAAUACCUUGGGCUGGAUUGAGGUACGCAGCGAAUGCUAUUUGGCGAGUUGGCUGGGAAUAUUUUCUGAGGUGCUUUGGUACUGAGGUUGAUAUUCCUAGUUACACUUCUAUUCGCUUAGGUUGUUGGCUUAAUGACUCUAAAUGACCCGUCUUGAA
rnacentral:rRNA from 1 species